rnacentral:snRNA from 1 species
CGCUUUGCCCAGUGGCAGUAUCGUAGUCAAUGAGGUUAAUCCGAGGCGUGAUUAUUGCUAAUUGAAAACUUUUCCCACUACCCUGCCAUGAUG